AUGAACGCUGGCGGCGUGCCUAAUACAUGCAAGUCGAGCGAACAGACGAGGAGCUUGCUCCUCUGACGUUAGCGGCGGACGGGUGAGUAACACGUGGAUAACCUACCUAUAAGACUGGGAUAACUUCGGGAAACCGGAACUAAUACCGGAUAAUAUAUUGAACCGCAUGGUUCAAUAGUGAAAGACGGUUUUGCUGUCACUUAUAGAUGGAUCCGCGCCGCAUUAGCUAGUUGGUAAGGUAACGGCUUACCAAGGCGACGAUGCGUAGCCGACCUGAGAGGGUGAUCGGCCACACUGGAACUGAGACACGGUCCAGACUCCUACGGGAGGCAGCAGUAGGGAAUCUUCCGCAAUGGGCGAAAGCCUGACGGAGCAACGCCGCGUGAGUGAUGAAGGUCUUCGGAUCGUAAAACUCUGUUAUUAGGGAAGAACAAAUGUGUAAGUAACUAUGCACGUCUUGACGGUACCUAAUCAGAAAGCCACGGCUAACUACGUG
rnacentral:rRNA from 1 species